GAGGCAAAUCACAUAUCCUGCAGCUUUUGCUAUUUCUUUUAUUUCUAAUAUUUCACUGUUUUGUCCAGAGAUACUACUUGCAGUUUUUUGUGUCAGCUACCACUGGAGCAUGUUGAGGAGCUGACACUGUUUUGGAGAUAUCAGCCACUCCCCUCAGCAUCUAAGUAAAUAAUCACUGGGAGCUUCCAGGGACUCCAGGGAUGGUGAUGGGGAGGUUUGACCAUCGAAUUAGGACCAAUCCCCGAAGAACAAGGUCCAGCCUUGCUGUUUUAUCCAGAACCAUCUGAAAAGACCUGGAUCUACAUCUGGAAUGGGGACAGACUUCCAUUACAGGCUGCCCUGUUCAACAUUGAGCAAUGCCAUCAAAAGCAGCUCUGUCCAGAACCUGAAAUGUACCUACUGCCUCUACCUAAAGAGCCUGCAGAAAGAGUAUUUUAGGAUGUUGGGUGCAGAAAAGUCUUUUUCCACACCACUGCCCAGGGCAGUGAGUGGACCACUGUCUAUCAGAGAUUUUUCUCAUUGCUCCAGUUAGAA